rnacentral:rRNA from 1 species
AGAGUUUGAUCCUGGCUCAGGACGAACGCUGGCGGCGUGCCUAAUACAUGCAAGUCGAGCGGACAGAUGGGAGCUUGCUCCCUGAUGUUAGCGGCGGACGGGUGAGUAACACGUGGGUAACCUGCCUGUAAGACUGGGAUAACUCCGGGAAACCGGGGCUAAUACCGGAUGGUUGUUUGAACCGCAUGGUUCAAACAUAAAAGGUGGCUUCGGCUACCACUUGCAGAUGGACCCGCGGCGCAUUAGCUAGUUGGUGAGGUAAUGGCUCACCAAGGCAACGAUGCGUAGCCGACCUGAGAGGGUGAUCGGCCACACUGGGACUGAGACACGGCCCAGACUCCUACGGGAGGCAGCAGUAGGGAAUCUUCCGCAAUGGACGAAAGUCUGACGGAGCAACGCCGCGUGAGUGAUGAAGGUUUUCGGAUCGUAAAGCUCUGUUGUUAGGGAAGAACAAGUGCCGUUCGAAUAGGGCGGUACCUUGACGGUACCUAACCAGAAAGCCACGGCUAACUACGUGCCAGCAGCCGCGGUAAUACGUAGGUGGCAAGCGUUGUCCGGAAUUAUUGGGCGUAAAGGGCUCGCAGGCGGUUUCUUAAGUCUGAUGUGAAAGCCCCCGGCUCAACCGGGGAGGGUCAUUGGAAACUGGGGAACUUGAGUGCAGAAGAGGAGAGUGGAAUUCCACGUGUAGCGGUGAAAUGCGUAGAGAUGUGGAGGAACACCAGUGGCGAAGGCGACUCUCUGGUCUGUAACUGACGCUGAGGAGCGAAAGCGUGGGGAGCGAACAGGAUUAGAUACCCUGGUAGUCCACGCCGUAAACGAUGAGUGCUAAGUGUUAGGGGGUUUCCGCCCCUUAGUGCUGCAGCUAACGCAUUAAGCACUCCGCCUGGGGAGUACGGUCGCAAGACUGAAACUCAAAGGAAUUGACGGGGGCCCGCACAAGCGGUGGAGCAUGUGGUUUAAUUCGAAGCAACGCGAAGAACCUUACCAGGUCUUGACAUCCUCUGACAAUCCUAGAGAUAGGACGUCCCCUUCGGGGGCAGAGUGACAGGUGGUGCAUGGUUGUCGUCAGCUCGUGUCGUGAGAUGUUGGGUUAAGUCCCGCAACGAGCGCAACCCUUGAUCUUAGUUGCCAGCAUUCAGUUGGGCACUCUAAGGUGACUGCCGGUGACAAACCGGAGGAAGGUGGGGAUGACGUCAAAUCAUCAUGCCCCUUAUGACCUGGGCUACACACGUGCUACAAUGGACAGAACAAAGGGCAGCGAAACCGCGAGGUUAAGCCAAUCCCACAAAUCUGUUCUCAGUUCGGAUCGCAGUCUGCAACUCGACUGCGUGAAGCUGGAAUCGCUAGUAAUCGCGGAUCAGCAUGCCGCGGUGAGUACGUUCCCGGGCCUUGUACACACCGCCCGUCACACCACGAGAGUUUGUAACACCCGAAGUCGGUGAGGUAACCUUUUAGGAGCCUGCCGCCGAAGGUGGGACAGAUGAUUGGGGUGAAGUCGUAACAAGGUA